rnacentral:rRNA from 1 species
CCUACGGGGGGCAGCAGUGGGGGAUAUUGCACAAUGGGGGGAACCCUGAUGCAGCGACGCCGCGUGGGUGAAGGAGCGUUUCGGCGCGUAAAGCCCUAUCGGCAGGGAAGAAGAUGACGGUACCUGGCCAAGAAGCCCCGUCUAACUACGUGCCAGCAGCCGAGGUAAUACGUAGGGGGCAAGCGUUAUCCGGAUUUACUGGGUGUAAAGGGGGCGCAGACGGCAAUGCAAGCCAGGAGUGAAAGCCCGGGGCCCAACCCCGGGACUGCUCUUGGAACUGCUUGGCUGGAGUACAGGAGGGGCAGGCGGAAUGCGGAGUGUAGCGGUGAAAUGCGUAGAUAUUAGGAGGAACACCGGUGGCGAAGGCGGCCUGCUGGACUGUGACUGACGUUGAGGCCCGAAGGCGUGGGGAGCAAACAGGAUUAGAUACCCCUGUAGUC